rnacentral:ncRNA from 2 species
UCAAUAAGCGGAGGAAAAGAAACUAA